rnacentral:rRNA from 1 species
UACAGUUGCCUCGAGCGUUAGGCGGAAUCACUGGGCUUAAAGCGUGUGUAGGCGGACUUCUAAGUACCUUGUGAAAUCCCACGGCUCACCCGUGGAACUGCUUGGUAUACUGGUUGUCUUGAGCCUUCUAGGGGCGAGUGGAACAAAUGGUGGAGCGGUGAAAUGCGUAGAUAUCAUUUGGAACGCCAAUGGUGAAAACAACUCGCUGGGGAAGUGCUGACGCUGAGACACGAAAGCCAGGGGAGCGAACGGG